rnacentral:rRNA from 1 species
AGCCGCGGUAAUACCGGCUGCUCGAGUGAUGGCCACUAUUACUGGGUUUAAAGCGUCCGUAGCUUGACUGUUAGGUCUCUUGGGAAAUCUUCGCGCUCAACGUGAAGGCGUCUAAGAGAUACCGGCAGUCUUGGAACUGGGAGAGGUAAACCGUACUUCGGGGGUAGGAGUGAAAUCUUGUAAUCCUCGAGGGACGACCUAUGGCGAAGGCAGUUUACCAGAACAGCUUCGACAGUGAGGGACGAAAGCUGGGGGAGCAAACGGGAUUAGAUACCCCGGUAGUCCCAGCCGUAAACAAUGUGCGUUAGGUGUGUCGGUAACCACGUGUUACUGAUGCGCCGAAGAGAAAUCGUGAAACGCACCACCUGGGAAGUACGGUCGCAAGGCUGAAACUUAAAGGAAUUGGCGGGGGAGCACCACAACAGGUGGAGCCUGCGGUUUAAUUGGAUUCAACGCCGGACAUCUCACCGGAUAAGACAGCUGAAUGAUUGUCAAUCUGAAGGUUUUACAUGACUAGCU